rnacentral:rRNA from 1 species
GAUGAACGCUGGCGGCGUGCCUAAUACAUGCAAGUCGAGCGAAAAGACGAGGAGCUUGCUCCUCUGACGUUAGCGGCGGACGGGUGAGUAACACGUGGAUAACCUACCUAUAAGACUGGGAUAACUUCGGGAAACCGGAGCUAAUACCGGAUAAUAUAUUGAACCGCAAGGUUCAAUAGUGAAAGACGGCUUUGCUGUCACUUAUAGAUGGAUCCGCGCCGCAUUAGCUAGUUGGUAAGGUAACGGCUUACCAAGGCAACGAUGCGUAGCCGAUCUGAGAGGGUGAUCGGCCACACUGGAACUGAGACACGGUCCAGACUCCUACGGGAGGCAGCAGUAGGGAAUCUUGCGCAAUGGGCGAAAGCCUGACGGAGCAACGCCGCGUGAGUGAUGAAGGUCUUCGGAUCGUAAAACUCUGUUAUUAGGGAAGAACAAAUGUGUAAGUAACUAUGCACGUCUUGACGGUACCUAAUCAGAAAGCCACGGCUAACUACGUG